UACGUAGGGUGCGAGCGUUGUCCGGAAUUAUUGGGCGUAAAGAGCUCGUAGGGCGGUCUGUCGCGUCUGCUGUGAAAACUCAGGGCUUAACCCUGAGCUUGCAGUGGGUACGGGCAGACUAGAGUGCGGUAGGGGAGACUGGAAUUCCUGGUGUAGCGGUGGAAUGCGCAGAUAUCAGGAGGAACACCGGUGGCGAAGGCGGGUCUCGUGGGCCGUUACUGAACGCUG
rnacentral:rRNA from 1 species